rnacentral:rRNA from 1 species
GUGGGGAAUUUUGGACAAUGGGCGCAAGCCUGAUCCAGCAAUGCCGCGUGCAGGAAGAAGGCCUUCGGGUUGUAAACUGCUUUUGUACGGAACGAAACGGUCCUGGUUAAUACCUGGGGCUAAUGACGGUACCGUAAGAAUAAGCACCGGCUAACUACGUGCCAGCAGCCGCGGUAAUACGUAGGGUGCGAGCGUUAAUCGGAAUUACUGGGCGUAAAGCGUGCGCAGGCGGUGCUGUAAGACAGGCGUGAAAUCCCCGGGCUCAACCUGGGAAUUGCGCUUGUGACUGCAGUGCUGGAGUACGGCAGAGGGGGAUGGAAUUCCGCGUGUAGCAGUGAAAUGCGUAGAUAUGCGGAGGAACACCGAUGGCGAAGGCAAUCCCCUGGGCCUGCACUGACGCUCAUGCACGAAAGCGUGGGGAGCAAACAGGAUUAGAAACCCUGGUAGUCC